UACGGGGGGGGUAAGCGUUGUUCGGAAUUACUGGGCGUAAAGGCUCGUAGGCGGCCAACUAAGUCAGACGUGAAAUCCCCUCAGCUUAACUGGGGAACUGCGUCUGAUACUGGAUGGCUUGGAUCCGGGAGAGGGAUGCGGAAUUCCAGGUGUAGCGGUGAAAUGCGUAGAUAUCUGGAGGAACACCGGUGGCGAAGGCGGCGAUCCUGGACCGGUAUUCGACGCUGAGGAGCGAAAGCCAG
rnacentral:rRNA from 1 species